rnacentral:rRNA from 1 species
AUUGAACGCUGGCGGCAGGCUUAACACAUGCAAGUCGAACGAGGGGCAGACGGGUGUGUAAUGCUUGGGAAUCUUCCUUAAGGAGGGGGCUAACUAAGGGAAACUGUAGCUAAUACCGCCUACCACAGGAUGAGCCCAAGGGGGAUUAGGUAGUUGGUGAGGUAAAGGCUCACCAAGCCGACGACCUCUAGCUGGUCUGAGAGGAUGACCAGCCACACUGGGACUGAGACACGGCCCAGACUCCGACGGGAGGCAGCAGUGGGGAAUAUUGCGCAAUGGGGGCAACCUGACGCAGCCAUGCCGCGUGAAUGAAGAAGUCCUUCGGGUUGUAAAGGUCUUUCGGUAGCGAGGCGUUAACUACAGAAGAAGCACCGGCUAACUCCGUGCCAGCAGCCGCGGUAAUUC